rnacentral:rRNA from 1 species
UGGUGGAGUGAUUUGUCUGGUUAAUUCCGUUAACGAACGAGACCUCAGCCUGCUAAAUAGUUGAACAUAGUUUUUCUAUGUAUUCGACUUCUUAGAGGGACUUUCGGUGGUUAGCCGAAGGAAGUUUGAGGCAAUAACA